rnacentral:rRNA from 1 species
UGGGGAAUUUUGGACAGUGGGCGCAAGCCUGAUCCAGCCAUGCCGCGUGCAGGAUGAAGGCCUUCGGGUUGUAAACUGCUUUUGUACGGAACGAAAAGACUCCUUCUAAUAAAGGGGGUCCAUGACGGUACCGUAAGAAUAAGCACCGGCUAACUUCGUGCCAGCAGCCGCGGUAAUACGAAGGGUGCAAGCGUUACUCGGAAUUACUGGGCGUAAAGCGUGCGUAGGUGGUGGUUUAAGUCUGCUGUGAAAGCCCCGGGCUCAACCUGGGACCUGCAUUUGUGACUGUAUAGCUAGAGUACGGUAGAGGGGGAUGGAAUUCCGCGUGUAGCAGUGAAAUGCGUAGAUAUGCGGAGGAACACCGAUGGCGAAGGCAAUCCCCUGGACCUGUACUGACGCUCAUGCACGAAAGCGUGGGGAGCAAACA